rnacentral:rRNA from 1 species
CUGAAACCGUGUACGUACAAGCAGUGGGAGCACGCUUAGGCGUGUGACUGCGUACCUUUUGUAUAAUGGGUCAGCGACUUAUAUUCUGUAGCAAGGUUAACCGAAUAGGGGAGCCGAAGGGAAACCGAGUCUUAACUGGGCGUUAAGUUGCAGGGUAUAGACCCGAAACCCGGUGAUCUAGCCAUGGGCAGGUUGAAGGUUGGGUAACACUAACUGGAGGACCGAACCGACUAAUGUUGAAAAAUUAGCGGAUGACUUGUGGCUGGGGGUGAAAGGCCAAUCAAACCGGGAGAUAGCUGGUUCUCCCCGAAAGCUAUUUAGGUAGCGCCUCGUGAAUUCAUCUCCGGGGGUAGAGCACUGUUUCGGCAAGGGGGUCAUCCCGACUUACCAACCCGAUGCAAACUGCGAAUACCGGAGAAUGUUAUCACGGGAGACACACGGCGGGUGCUAACGUCCGUCGUGAAGAGGGAAACAACCCAGACCGCCAGCUAAGGUCCCAAAGUCAUGGUUAAGUGGGAAACGAUGUGGGAAGGCCCAGACAGCCAGGAUGUUGGCUUAGAAGCAGCCAUCAUUUAAAGAAAGCGUAAUAGCUCACUGGUCGAGUCGGCCUGCGCGGAAGAUGUAACGGGGCUAAACCAUGCACCGAAGCUGCGGCAGCGACGCUGAUGCGUUGUUGGGUAGGGGAGCGUUCUGUAAGCCUG